rnacentral:rRNA from 1 species
AUACGUAGGGUGCGAGCGUUGUCCGGAAUUACUGGGCGUAAAGAGCUCGUAGGUGGUUUGUCGCGUCGUCUGUGAAAUUCCGGGGCUUAACUCCGGGCGUGCAGGCGAUACGGGCAUAACUUGAGUACUGUAGGGGAGACUGGAAUUCCUGGUGUAGCGCUGAAAUGCGCAGAUAUCAGGAGGAACACCGGUGGCGAAGGCGGGUCUCUGGGCAGUAACUGACGCUGAGGAGCGAAAGCAUGGGUAGCGAACAGGAUUAGAUACCCUGGUAGUCCAUGCCGUAAACGGUGGGCGCUAGGUGUAGGGGUCUUCCACGACUUCUGUGCCGUAGCUAACGCAUUAAGCGCCCCGCCUGGGGAGUACGGCCGCAAGGCUAAAACUCAAAGGAAUUGACGGGG